GACCGGUUAGCUCAGUCAGUUAGAGGGUGGUGCUGAUAACACCAAGGCCGCGGGUUUGAUCCCUGCUCGGUCC
rnacentral:tRNA from 1 species